GAUGAACGCUGGCGGCGUGCCUAAUACAUGCAAGUCGAGCGAACAGACGAGGAGCUUACUCCUCUGACGUUAGCGGCGGACGGGUGAGUAACACGUGGAUAACCUACCUAUAAGACUGGGAUAACUUCGGGAAACCGGAGCUAAUACCGGAUAACAUGUUGAACCGCAUGGUUCAACAGUGAAAGACGGUCUUGCUGUCACUUAUAGAUGGAUCCGCGUCGCAUUAGCUAGUUGGUAAGGUAACGGCUUACCAAGGCAACGAUGCGUAGCCGACCUGAGAGGGUGAUCGGCCACACUGGAACUGAGACACGGUCCAGACUCCUACGGGAGGCAGCAGCAGGGAAUCUUCCGCAAUGGGCGAAAGCCUGACGGAGCAACGCCGCGUGAGUGAAGAAGGUCUUCGGAUCGUAAAACUCUGUUAUUAGGGAAGAACAAAUGUGUAAGUAACUAUGCACGUCUUGACGGUACCUAAUCAGAAAGCCACGGCUAACUACGUG
rnacentral:rRNA from 1 species